UUAUAUGGACUUUGACUCCUGCCUGGAUUGUUCUCCACCCCACACCGUAACCCAGGCAACGACUAUGGCGGAAUCUGCUGUACAGGCGAGGAACUUCUCCAGUUGUUCUUUCAGUUGAGAGACAGAUUUUCUCACAUCAUUAUAAAGGUGGACAGAACUUCUGGUAACUCUGGGUACGC